GAACCUGAAACCGUGUACGUACAAGCAGUGGGAGCACGCUUAGGCGUGUGACUGCGUACCUUUUGUAUAAUGGGUCAGCGACUUAUAUUCUGUAGCAAGGUUAACCGAAUAGGGGAGCCGAAGGGAAACCGAGUCUUAACUGGGCGUUAAGUUGCAGGGUAUAGACCCGAAACCCGGUGAUCUAGCCAUGGGCAGGUUGAAGGUUGGGUAACACUAACUGGAGGACCGAACCGACUAAUGUUGAAAAAUUAGCGGAUGACUUGUGGCUGGGGGUGAAAGGCCAAUCAAACCGGGAGAUAGCUGGUUCUCCCCGAAAGCUAUUUAGGUAGCGCCUCGUGAAUUCAUCUCCGGGGGUAGAGCACUGUUUCGGCAAGGGGGUCAUCCCGACUUACCAACCCGAUGCAAACUGCGAAUACCGGAGAAUGUUAUCACGGGAGACACACGGCGGGUGCUAACGUCCGUCGUGAAGAGGGAAACAACCCAGACCGCCAGCUAAGGUCCCAAAGUCAUGGUUAAGUGGGAAACGAUGUGGGAAGGCCCAGACAGCCAGGAUGUUGGCUUAGAAGCAGCCAUCAUUUAAAGAAAGCGUAAUAGCUCACUGGUCGAGUCGGCCUGCGCGGAAGAUGUAACGGGGCUAAACCAUGCACCGAAGCUGCGGCAGCGACGCUGAUGCGUUGUUGGGUAGGGGAGCGUUCUGUAAGCCUGCGAAGGUGUGCUGUGAGGCAUGCUGGAGGUAUCAGAAGUGCGAAUGCUGACAUAAGUAACGAUAAAGCGGGUGAAAAGCCCGCUCGCCGGAAGACCAAGGGUUCCUGUCCAACGUUAAUCGGGGCAGGGUGAGUCGACCCCUAAGGCGAGGCCGAAAGGCGUAGUCGAUGGGAAACAGGUUAAUAUUCCUGUACUUGGUGUUACUGCGAAGGGGGGACGGAGAAGGCUAUGUUGGCCGGGCGACGGUUGUCCCGGUUUAAGCGUGUAGGCUGGUUUUCCAGGCAAAUCCGGAAAAUCAAGGCUGAGGCGUGAUGACGAGGCACU
rnacentral:rRNA from 1 species